GGUGAACGCUGGCGGUUGGCCUAACACAUGCAAGUCGAACGGCAGCACAGUAGGAGCUUGCUCUUACGGGUGGCGAGUGGCGGACGGGUGAGGAAUACAUCGGAAUCUACUUUUUCGUGGGGGAUAACGUAGGGAAACUUACGCUAAUACCGCAUACGACCUACGGGUGAAAGCAGGGGAUCUUCGGACCUUGCGCGAUUGAAUGAGCCGAUGUCGGAUUAGCUAGUUGGCGGGGUAAAGGCCCACCAAGGCGACGAUCCGUAGCUGGUCUGAGAGGAUGAUCAGCCACACUGGAACUGAGACACGGUCCAGACUCCUACGGGAGGCAGCAGUGGGGAAUAUUGGACAAUGGGCGCAAGCCUGAUCCAGCCAUACCGCGUGGGUGAAGAAGGCCUUCGGGUUGUAAAGCCCUUUUGUUGGGAAAGAAAAGCAGCAGGUUAAUACCCCGCUGUUCUGACGGUACCCAAAGAAUAAGCACCGGCUAACUUCGUG
rnacentral:rRNA from 1 species